GAUGAACGCUGGCGGCGUGCUUAACACAUGCAAGUCGAACGGUGAAGCUCCAGCUUGCUGGAGUGGAUCAGUGGCGAACGGGUGAGUAACACGUGAGCAACCUGCCCCUGACUCUGGGAUAACAGCCGGAAACGGCUGCUAAUACCGGAUAUGCACCAUGAACGCAUGUUCUGUGGUUGGAAAGAUUUUUCGGUUGGGGAUGGGCUCGCGGCCUAUCAGCUUGUUGGUGAGGUAAUGGCUCACCAAGGCGUCGACGGGUAGCCGGCCUGAGAGGGUGACCGGCCACACUGGGACUGAGACACGGCCCAGACUCCUACGGGAGGCAGCAGUGGGGAAUAUUGCACAAUGGGCGAAAGCCUGAUGCAGCAACGCCGCGUGAGGGAUGACGGCCUUCGGGUUGUAAACCUCUUUUAGCAGGGAAGAAGCGAGAGUGACGGUACCUGCAGAAAAAGCGCCGGCUAACUACGUG
rnacentral:rRNA from 1 species